CCAGCACCUGCGGCACCUCCGGCAGACUGGACGCCCGCCUGAGCAGUCCAGUGCACUCUGUGUUACGGUCCACCCGUAACAAUGCUGCUCCUCUUCGCCCUCAUCUGCGCUGCCACGCUCGGCCACGCGCGGACGGGCACCUGUGACCGCCCCUGGAGGUAUCUCGUCAGUUUCCAGAGCGCUCGGGUCUACGUAUGGCCCGGGGAGGAGGUGGACCUCUACUGCCGUCCGCCGACGGACGACGGCUGCCUCUGGGUGAAUGGUGAACAAGUCCUAGGCAACGCCUGCCAUCUGUCGACGACUCGAAGAGGCCCAAUCAAAUGCAUGCGAGGAGAUGAAGUCAUGGGGAUGAUUCAUCUGAUAGAACCUGCGUCACAGGACGUCGAGGGAACGGAUCUCAUCUAUGCCUAUGACUAUUAUGAUUUUCAUAACCUGCGGUACGUCAGUGACUCCACGGAAGCUGUAUUGCGCACCGUGCGUGAACGAACCUUUCUGUGCUCGGACACAGGAAAGAUUAUCGGGAAGUCCUGGCUUUGUGACGGAACUAGGCACUGUAUCAACGGAGAGGACGAGCAAGACUGUAACCCAAUGUGCGGCACACCAAACCUCAGAAAACACAGCAAUCUGACAACACCCGAUGCAUAUGUAUACCCACCAGGCGCUCAGGCAGAAUAUACCUGCGAAAAAGGGUUUGGCUUCCUGGACUCGCUCAACUGGUUCCGCAGGACAUGCCAUAAGGGUCAGUGGAGCGGCGAGCCUCCCAUUUGCCACAAGAACGUCGCCUUUAACCGGCCGGUGACCAUCAAAGGGAAGGUGAUCGGCGGAAGUUGCCUGGAGGUGGUCAAUGACGGGACAUUUGACAACUGGUGUGUGUUGAUGCCCACCGCGCAGCCGUCGUCCGUCAGUGUGCAGCUCGCCACCAAUGCGUCCGUCAAUCAGGUACUGGUCAGGUCUCCGGACCAGCGGUAUCAGGUGUCCCUGCGGGACGCGGACGAAACCAGAGCCCCGGUAGCGUGCAGCUGCGCUUCGAGCCCCGUCGCCUCGUCAAACCCGAGUUUGUCCGGGCUGGCCGUCUGUUCUUGUCCGACCGGCGAUCUUCCCGGCCCGGCGAGCAUCGUCGUCAGCAAAGAGCGAUCCACAUUCAUGUCGCUCUCCGUCGCCGAGAUAGCCGCGUUCGCGGAGCGCGCACUGGACGAGGCCGGCGACAGCGGCGAUUGUGCUUACCUCGACCAACCGGCAUACGGCAGCUAUGAACCUGUGGACGACGGCAGGGUGCGCUUGGUCUGCCAGCCCGGCUACCGCGCCAACUGCACUGACGUCACGCCGUGUCGAGCCGUCGCCAGCGGCGCCGUCCGGCUCAGCUGCCGGCCGCUGACCUGCCCGCCGCCUCCGGUCAUCCCGCACGCCGUCGUGCGGGCGGAGAACGGCACGGCGUGGAUGGCCAUGACCGAGUACGCCUGCGCCGCCGGCUACCAGCUGUACCCGCCCGAGCAGCGGACGACGGCCGUCUGCGAAGACGGCCUCUGGUCACUCAGUCACAUUGUUUGCCUGCCUGAGACGGAACAUCCGCGUGGUGGCGCUGCGCAUGAGCCAGCAGCACGAGCGCAGCGUGAGCGAGCUACGCCGAGAGCUGGAGGCACUGCUCUCCGGGCAGCAGCAGUUGCUGCAGCAACUAAACGAGACCCAGCUGCAGUUGAGCGACACCCAGAGACGGCUGCAGAGACUGGAGGAUGAAUCUGGAAUUGGGCAGCAUGAUUCUGAAAUCAAGAUUCAGCAGCUGGCUGACGAGAAUUGGCCCCAGCAGCCGAAUGAAGAAACUUAGCUUGAACAGCUGGAUGAGGAAACUCAGCAGCUGACCGAGCCUCCGCGGUUCGAUGUGCCGGUGGAGCUUGAAUAGGUGGUCUCCGAGGGAACGACGGCCCUACCGAGCCUCCGCGGUUCGGUGUGCCGGUGGAGCUUGAAUAGGUGGUCUCCGAGAGCACGACGGCCCUUUUGACGGUUCAAUGUUAACGGAGCUUCACAAGCUGGUUGGGCCCCUAGCGUUCUUGAAGGAACUCAUGCUUUUGCAUUGGGAUUUGAUAGUCUUAGCUGAUGUGAGACUUGGUGAGGGGGGUACAUAUUAUCGAGCACUUCUCCCAAAAACGCUUUUUAACUCAUGACAACUAAUUUGCUUGUGACAGCUAACAGCAGCCUAAACGACACCUGACAAGUGGCGACAACAUGCAACGGCUGUGCAUUUAACAAUCUUUAACGACUUUGUUAAUAGUCGAGAAUUAAAAAUUGUAUUUUGAGGCGGAGACGUAGAAAUGACAACAUUAUCCACAGACUCAUGUCAUAUUAACUUAGGCCCUCCUCUUAACGUCGCUAUUUCAGAUCUGAAACCUCACCUUGAGAAGAAUGAGAGGCAAGUAGCGGUAUAGCAUUGACAAUGGUUUGGUCCAGAGCUUUAUACAGCCCCGGACAAUGCAGCAUAGUCAAAUUGCUUUAAUAUUCCAAUUAUUCGUCGGCGUGUGGUAAGCAUCUGACUGUUGUGAUAUCCAAUAAAGUGACUUAG